UGGUAGCACAGAUAUAUGCUAGCAACCCAACCUUCCUUCCUUCUUCUUCUUCUUCUUUAACAAUGUGUUGUUAUGGUAAUACUGGUAGCACAGAUAUAUGCUAGCAACCCAACCUUCCUUCCUUCUUCUUCUUUAACAAGGUGUUGUUAUGGUAAUACUGGUAGCAAAGAUAAAUGCUGGCAACGUAGUUAUUGUGAGCAGGUUUAAAUUCAGAUACAAUGCUGACAGUGGAAACGUUUUGGCUCCCAUCCACUAGGUGGCUUAGCUAACGGCAGCUAUUCAAGUAUCCUGACCAAAAUGCGCCGAAAUGUCAGCUAGUCAACGAGUGGGUUGAAGUUGAGGAAAUUAUUGGAGCUAAUCUUCAGUCCAAAUGAGUUCGUUCGCGGGUCGCAUGAAGGAGUAUCCCAACAUGUCGCUGGAUCGGUUUGACAGGGAGAAUCUACAUGCAAGGGCUUAUUUUUUAUCUCACUGCCACAAAGAUCACAUGAAGGGGCUGAAGGGGCCUCUAUUGAAAAGAAAGCUGAAAUUCAGUCUGACAGUCAAACUGUACUGUUAAUUUGUUCCAGUCUGACAGUCAAACUGUACUGUUCAUUUGUUCCAGUCUGACAGUCAAACUGUACUGUUCAUUUGUAACUAAGGAACUGUUGCUGAGCAAUCCAAAAUAUGCCUUCUGGGAAGAUCACAUAGUUGCUUUGGAACUGGAGAGUCCCACACUAAUCACUUUAAUAGACGAGGCUUCAGGAGAGAAAGAAGAACUUGUGGUGACUCUGCUUCCUGCAGGUCACUGUCCAGGCUCGGUCAUGUGAGUAUUGUGUGUGCGUGCAUGUAUGUGUGCUUAUGUGGUAUCACCUAGCUUGUGUUUGUGGUAUCACCUAGCUUGUGUGUGUUUCUGGUAAUAUGACGUAUCACCUAGCUUGUGUGUGUUAGUUAGACUUGGGUGAUAUACUGCGUUCUGGGGUAUUUAGAAAUAGCGACAGUGUGAUAUUUUUGGGGGUGAGGGCCCUCUAACGCUCUGAGCCUCGCGGGGGUGCAUGCUACGCCACUGUUUCUAACUAUCAUUUCCCUAGCUAAGAUGUACUGACUAAAUGAUCUCAGGGGUGCAACUCAAUAUUACAAAGGUGAGUGUACAAACAAUAAGAACACCUUCCUAAUAUUGAGUUGCCUCCCCCCCCAAUUUGUUGGGGCGUGGACACUACAAGAUGUCAAAA